rnacentral:rRNA from 1 species
GGAAUAGCCUUUCGAAAGAAAGAUUAAUACCGGAUGGCAUACGAAUAUCGCAUGAUAUUUUUAUUAAAGAAUUUCGGUUAUCGAUGGGGAUGCGUUCCAUUAGUUUGUUGGCGGGGUAACGGCCCACCAAGACUACGAUGGAUAGGGGUUCUGAGAGGAAGGUCCCCCACAUUGGAACUGAGACACGGUCCAAACUCCUACGGGAGGCAGCAGUGAGGAAUAUUGGUCAAUGGGCGCGAGCCUGAACCAGCCAAGUAGCGUGAAGGAUGAAGGCUCUAUGGGUCGUAAACUUCUUUUAUAUGGGAAUAAAGUUUUCCACGUGUGGAAUUUUGUAUGUACCAUAUGAAUAAGGAUCGGCUAACUCCGUGCCAGCAGCCGCGGUAAUACGGAGGAUCCGAGCGUUAUCCGGAUUUAUUGGGUUUAAAGGGAGCGUAGGUGGAUUGUUAAGUCAGUUGUGAAAGUUUGCGGCUCAACCGUAAAAUUGCAGUUGAAACUGGCAGUCUUGAGUACAGUAGAGGUGGGCGGAAUUCGUGGUGUAGCGGUGAAAUGCUUAGAUAUCACGAAGAACUCCGAUUGCGAAGGCAGCUCACUAGACUGUUACUGACACUGAUGCUCGAAAGUGUGGGUAUCAAACAGGAUUAGAUACCCUGGUAGUCCACACAGUAAACGAUGAAUACUCGCUGUUUGCGAUAUACAGUAAGCGGCCAAG